AAUAAAAUUGUUUUACGUGUUUUCUGGCGAGAUAAUGUUGUUGAGUUAAAUUUGUUUAGUUCCUCAGAAUAUGAAACAGAAGAUGAUUUGUCUGGUUCAUCAUAUUCUUCAAAAACACGAGGGCUUAUAACUUUUAUGAAUCCUAAAUUACUUUCUGCAUUAGAUCAAUGCAAGAUAUCUGACCGCGAUGCUGUGCAUUUAAUUAUUUCUACUGCUGAAGCAUUAGGUAAUAACGUAUCAAAGUUAAUAAUCAACCGAUCAACUAUUCGACGGGAAAGAUUAUUUUUUAGUGAGAGAAAGGCAUUAUAAAUAGAGCUAAAGUUGAUCGAUUGCCAAUCUUGGUAUCAUUUGAGGGAGUAAGUCAAUUACUUGGGUUCCCAAAAAUUGAGAGUGAUUCUGGCGAGAAUCAGGUAAAUGCAAUUUUUGAUUUAUUACAAGUUUGGGAUGUAAAAAAUAAAAUACAGGCCUUGUGUUGUGACACAACAGCUUCUAAUACAGGUCGCUUAAAUGACGCUUGUAUAUUGCUUAAACAACUCU